rnacentral:misc_RNA from 1 species
GCAGAAGGAUCAUUAGUGAAGAUUUGGGCAGGCCAUACGGACGCCAAAAAGUGUCCCUGGCCGCCUACACCCACUAUACAUCCACAAACCCGUGUGCACUGUCUUGGUGAAAGGCUUCAGAGAAGUUUUUUGUGGCCUCUCUUGGGGUCUUUCUUCGCUACAAACUCGAAUGGUUAGUAUGAACGUGGAACUUGGUUGGACCGUCACUGGCCAACAAACUAUACACAACUUUCGACAACGGAUCUCUUGGUUCUCCCA